AUAUGAAAAAAGAACAAAAGCAAUUUUAUUCAAAUCAUUUCCAAGACUUUGUGUUCAUCUGAAGGCUUUGCAAAAUUUAUACUAUGAAUGUUUCUUUAAGAUAUAUUUUUAUUUUUAAUUGUACUUGAAUUUUAUAUAAUUCACAUUUUCUACAUACAAUCAGAAACUUCAAGCUCCCUAAAUAGAAUGAAGGACUGUGUCUAGGGGCAUUUCACAGUGAACUUCAUGAUCUCUCAAACAUUUCAUCCUGCACAUUACCACUCUGUUUCCUGAGCGAUACCUCACAUUCCAAUGCCAAACAUUUCAGCACAAGGAAACUAGAAAUGGACGCGUGUUGCAAGAAUAAAAGCAUCAUUGGGAUUUAAGGCAAAGAAUUGGGAGAAUGUACCCACAAAUGGCAAUAAUAAUAAAUGGAUCAAACUUUAACAUUUGGUGUUUCCAUUUUUUUAUCUUAAACACAACAUGGCUUAACCUUCAAAUGAAAGGAAAAUGGAUUAUGUAAUGAAAGGUGUUUUUAUUUUAAGUGUCUGGAAAUUUCUUGGGUGUGAGGCUCGGUAAGAUGGCACUAUAAGAGCAGAUCUAUAAAUUGAAAAUAUAAGUAUGUUUCUUGGGUUUCUAUUAAAGAAAAAUAUUUUCAAGACUAUUUCAGACAUACACAUAAAGUGAAACUUUGAUCUUUAUGUUAGAAAGUUCAUACUCAGAAAACAUACAAGGCAGAACCGCUAGUCCCUAUGAAAUGUAGCAAAUGAGCUACAUUUAGAUUCAGAAGCUUUCAUGGAGAAAGAUUUUGACCCAGAUUCUAAGCAAAAAUGAAUAUUUAUUCAACCUAUGUCGCCUAUUGUCCUAAACAUUUGACUUAUAUUAAUUCGCUCACUCACCGAGUAAUCUCAUCAGUGCCACUGCGGAUUAUAAGGAUCAUAUGGUAAUCUCUUUAAGGAAGGUUCUGCUAUUGAUUCUGUAACAGAUAAGACAAUUUCUCAGAAGGCGUCGUCCCUACGAUAAAUCCUCCCUCUUUCCCAUUAAUUACCUUCUUCUAAUACAAAGGAUCAAAAUACAGUUGCUGUCGGACUGUAUUCUGCAAUUAGUUGAUGUAAAUACAUAUGAGUCCAAAAUCCUUGCUUUCCAAAACAUUAUAUUCAAAUAAUGUAACAGAUUCUCCUCCAUACUUCAGCCAUACUACGGCAGCACUCCAAAGUUAAACAUCCACAGAAUUUACAGAUCUCCUUAAACACUCGCCCUGAUUAGCAGAGAAUGGCGCUAGAAAGUGGAGAGCCUGUUCCCAUCAGCUUCUCACUCACUUUGAAAUGUAUUUCAUUUGUCUGUUCUUCUGAUUAAGUCGUACCUGUUCCAGCUUGCCGGCCACCUGCCAGCGAAGCAGACUUGGAGAAAGCCUUUAACGAACUCCAGUAAGUUCACUGAAACCCACCUAAGUAUACUGAUGACUUUUCCCAAUGGCCAUAUUUUGGCUCCAAAAGUGCUUGUCAGAAAUCAAAACUUGAAUGAGCCUUGGCAUUAACCAUCAUGAGAAAUACGCAUUACUUCUUUGGAGAGGAUGCUGGCAGACUGGUGGUGCGUCCCAUUUAUUGAAUGUUAAUCACGUGCCAGGCACAGUUGGCCGUUUACUCCCACAGGGACCCUGCGCAGGAGGCAUCGUUUGCAGGACUUGAGCAGCUGUGAGCAGAGCAGUGGUAGCAGGAACCCAGAAGAAGAGCCUUAGGGUGGUCUGGAGCCCGCACUCUGCAGGAAAGUCUCCUUGCAGGACAGAAGUCUCUUGCCCCUGCAAUGCCAAGCUGGUGCAGAGCGCUGUGACAGAGCUAAGCAUGAUGGACAGCGGGAGCUCAUAGGGAGGGCAGGUCACCAAGCCCUGAGGACGGGGGUGGCAGGUUAUUAUCUAUACAAAGAUAAUUAUUUGGCCAGGCAAGGUGGCUCACUCCUGUAAUCCUAGCACUCUGGGAGGCCGAGGCGGGAGGAUGGCUCAAG